rnacentral:rRNA from 1 species
UAGGGAAUCUUCCACAAUGGGCGCAAGCCUGAUGGAGCAACACCGCGUGAGUGAAGAAGGGUUUCGGCUCGUAAAGCUCUGUUGUUAAAGAAGAACACGUAUGAGAUUAGCUGUUCAUACGUNGACGGUAUUUAACCCGAAAGUCACGGCCAACUACGUGCCCGCCGCCGCGGUAAUACGUAGGUUGCAAGCGUUAUCCGGAUUUAUUGGGCGUAAAGAGAGUGCAGGCGGUUUUCUAAGUUUGAUGUGAAAGCCUUCGGCUUAACCGGAGAAGUGCAUCGGAAACUGGAUAACUUGAGUGCAGAAGAGGGUAGUGGAACUCCAUGUGUAGCGGUGGAAUGCGUAGAUAUAUGGAAGAACACCGGUGGCGAAAGCGGCUAUCUGGUCUGUAACUGACGCUGAGGCUCGAAAGCAUGGGUAGCGAACAGGAUUAGAUACCCUGGUAGUCCAUGCCGUAAACGAUGAGUGCUAGGUGUUGGAGGGUUUCCGGGCUUCAGUGCCGGAGCUAACGCAUUAAGCACUCCGCCUGGGGAGUACGACCGCAAGGUUG